UACGUAGGGUGCAAGCGUUUGUCCGGAAUUAUUGGGCGUAAAGAGCUUGUAGGCGGUUUGUCGCGUCUGCUGUGAAAUUUCGGGGCUCAACCCCGAACUUGCAGUGGGUACGGGCAGACUAGAGUGUGGUAGGGGAGACUGGAAUUCCUGGUGUAGCGGUGAAAUGCGCAGAUAUCAGGAGGAACACCGGUGGCGAAGGCGGCUUCCUGGACCUGUCCUGACGCUCAGGCGCGAAAGCUAGGGGAACAAACAGG
rnacentral:rRNA from 1 species